GACGAACGCUGGCGGCGUGCUUAACACAUGCAAGUCGAACGGAAAGGCCCUGCUUUUGUGGGGUGCUCGAGUGGCGAACGGGUGAGUAACACGUGAGUAACCUGCCCUUGACUUUGGGAUAACUUCAGGAAACUGGGGCUAAUACCGGAUAGGAGCUCCUGCUGCAUGGUGGGGGUUGGAAAGUUUCGGCGGUUGGGGAUGGACUCGCGGCUUAUCAGCUUGUUGGUGGGGUAGUGGCUUACCAAGGCUUUGACGGGUAGCCGGCCUGAGAGGGUGACCGGCCACAUUGGGACUGAGAUGCGGCCCGGACGCCUACGGGAGGCAGCAGUGAGGAAUAGUGCACGAUGGGCGGAAGCCUGAUGCAGCAACGCCGCGUGCGGGAUGACGGCCUUCGGGUUGUAAACCGCUUUCGCCUGUGACGAAGCGUGAGUGACGGUAAUGGGUAAAGAAGCACCGGCUAACUACGUG
rnacentral:rRNA from 1 species